rnacentral:rRNA from 1 species
GUCGAGCUUGCUCACAGGCACAUCAUAUCCAUAACACCUGUGCACUUGUCGGAUGGCUUAGUGAAGACCGCAAGGUUGAAUCUAUCCAUCUACUUUACAUAACAAUUCUGUAACAAAUGUAGUCUUAUUAUAACAUAAUAAAACUUUCAACAACGGAUCUCUUGGCUCUCGCAUCGAUGAAGAACGCAGCGAAAUGCGAUAAGUAAUGUGAAUUGCAGAAUUCAGUGAAUCAUCGAAUCUUUGAACGCACCUUGCGCUCCUUGGUAUUCCGAGGAGCAUGCCUGUUUGAGUGUCAUGAAAACCCUCAACCCUAGAUUGGUUAAAACCUUUCUUUGGUUUGGAUUUGGACGUUUGCCGAUGAUAAGUCGGCUCGUCUUAAAAGUAAUAGCUGGAUCUGUCUCGCGACAUGGUUUGACUUGGCGUAAUAAGUAUUUCGCUAAGGACAUCUUCGGAUGGCCGCGUUGCAGGACUAAAGACCGCUUUCUAAUCCAUUGAUCUUCGGAUUAAUACUCUUGACAUCUGGCCUCAAAUCAGGUAGGACUACCCGCUGAACUUAAGCAUAUCAAUA